rnacentral:rRNA from 1 species
UACGGAGGGUGCAAGCGUUAUCCGGAUUUACUGGGUUUAAAGGGUGCGUAGGUGGGUCUGUAAGUCAGUGGUGAAAUCUUCGAGCUUAACUCGGAAAACUGCCAUUGAUACUAUAGAUCUUGAAUCAUCUGGAGGUGAGCGGAAUAUGUCAUGUAGCGGUGAAAUGCUUAGAUAUGACAUAGAACACCAUUGCGAAGCAG